GUCUCUUUGAUUUUCUUAUAUAAAGAGUCGGGCCUGCUCGGUGAACAAUUGUUUUAACAGCUGCGGUAUUUUAACUGUACUAAGGUAGCAUAAUAAUUUGCCUUAUAAUUUGAGGCUAGAAUGAAUGGUUUGACGAAGGUUAGACUGUCUCUACUUUAAUUUUUAGAAUUUAAUUUAUAUAGUGAAAAAGCUUGUAUUUUUUAAAGGGACGAGAAGACCCUAAUGAGCUUUAAUUUUAUUAAUUAUUUAUAAUGUUUAUUUCUAAAUAAUUAUAUAAAUUUUAAUUGGGGUGAUUAAGGAAUAAAAAGUAAAUAUAGUUUAGUAACUUCCUUAUUUAUUAGUAUUGUUAAAUAAAUUAACCAACAAUGUUGCUUAUAGUAGAGUUACCAUAGGGAUAACAGCGUAAUUUAUUUUGAGAGUUCUUAUUGAAAAAUAAGAUUGCGACCUCGAUGUUGGAUUAAAGUAACCUUAGGGUGCAGAAGCUCUAAAAGGUAAAUCUGUUCGAUUUUUAAAACUUUACA
rnacentral:rRNA from 1 species